UUUCAGUGGCGAGGUUAACUGAAUAAGGGAGCCGUAGAGAAAUCGAGUCUGAAUAGGGCGAUAGUCGCUGGGAGUAGACCCGAAACCGGGCGAUCUAGCCAUGUGCAGGAUGAAGGUUGGGUAACACCAACUGGAGGUCCGAACCGGGUAAUGUUGAAAAAUUAUCGGAUGACGUGUGGCUAGGAGUGAAAGGCUAAUCAAGCCCGGAGAUAGCUGGUUCUCCCCGAAAGCUAUUUAGGUAGCGCCUCGUGAAUGAUUACUGGGGGUAGAGCACUGUUUCGGCUAGGGGGCUGUCAUGGCUUACCAAACCGAUGCAAACUCCGAAUACCGGCUAAUUGGAUCACGGGAGACACACGGCGGGUGCUAACGUCCGUCGUGGAGAGGGAAACAACCCAGACCGCCAGCUAAGGUCCCCAAGUACUAGUUAAGUGGGAAACGAUGUGGGAAGGCAUAGACAGCCAGGAGGUUGGCUUAGAAGCAGCCACCCUUUAAAGAAAGCGUAAUAGCUCACUGGUCGAGUCGGCCUGCGCGGAAGAUGUAACGGGGCUAAAACUAGUCACCGAAGCUGCGGAUGUGCGCGAAAGCGCACGUGGUAGGGGAGCGUUCUGUAGGCUGAUGAAGGUGCAUUGAGAAGUGUGCUGGAGGUAUCAGAAGUGCGAAUGCUGACAUGAGUAACGAUAAUGUGGGUGAAAAGCCCACACGCCGGAAGUCCCAGGUUUCCUGCACGACGUUAAUCGGAGCAGGGUGAGUCGGCCCCUAAGGCGAGGCUGAAGAGCGUAGUCGAUGGGAACCAGGUUAAUAUUCCUGGACUUUUUAUAAGUGGUGAAGUGGGGACGAAGAAGGCUAGGUGAGCCAGGCGUUGGUUGUCCUGGUACUUGCAUGUAGGGGGGAAGACUUGGCAAAUCCGGUUUUCCAUAACUCUGAGGUGCGAAGUGGUUCUGACCUUUUGGUACAGAGAAGUCAUUGAUGCCCGGCUUCCAGGAAAAGCUGCUAGCCAUAACUUAUAGAGAACCGUACCGCAAACCGACACAGGUGGACAGGUAGAGAAUACUAAGGCGCUUGAGAGAACUCGGGUGAAGGAACUAGGCAAAAUGGUACCGUAACUUCGGGAGAAGGUACGCCCUUUUGGGUGAGGGCAUUUACUGUCUGAGCUUAAGAGGGCCGCAGAGACCAGGUGGCUGCGACUGUUUAUUAAAAACACAGCACUCUGCAAAUUCGUAAGAAGACGUAUAGGGUGUGACGCCUGCCCGGUGCCGGAAGGUUAAUUGAUGGGGUUAUCUUCGGAGAAGCUCUUGAUCGAAGCCCCGGUAAACGGCGGCCGUAACUAUAACGGUCCUAAGGUAGCGAAAUUCCUUGUCGGGUAAGUUCCGACCUGCACGAAUGGCGUAACGAUGGCCACACUGUCUCCACCCGAGACUCAGUGAAAUUGAAAUCGCUGUGAAGAUGCAGUGUACCCGCGGCUAGACGGAAAGACCCCGUGAACCUUUACUAUAGUUUUGCACUGGACUUUGAUGAUGACUGUGUAGGAUAGGUGGGAGGCUGUGAAGUGAGGACGCUAGUUCUCAUGGAGCCGCCCUUGAAAUACCACCCUGUUGUUAUUGAGGUUCUAACUUGGUCCAGUAAUCCUGGAUGAGGACAGUGUAUGAUGGGUAGUUUGACUGGGGCGGUCUCCUCCCAAAGAGUAACGGAGGAGCACAAAGGUACCCUCGGUACGGUCGGACAUCGUACCAAGAGUGUAAAGGCAAAAGGGUGCUUGACUGCGAGAGUGACGGCUCGAGCAGGAACGAAAGUUGGUCUUAGUGAUCCGGUGGUUCUGAAUGGAAGGGCCAUCGCUCAACGGAUAAAAGGUACUCCGGGGAUAACAGGCUGAUACCGCCCAAGAGUUCAUAUCGACGGCGGUGUUUGGCACCUCGAUGUCGGCUCAUCACAUCCUGGGGCUGAAGCAGGUCCCAAGGGUAUGGCUGUUCGCCAUUUAAAGUGGUACGCGAGCUGGGUUUAGAACGUCGUGAGACAGUUCGGUCCCUAUCUGCCGUGGGCGUAGGAAAAUUGAGAGGAGCUGCUCCUAGUACGAGAGGACCGGAGUGGACGAACCUCUGGUGCACCGGUUGUCACGCCAGUGGCAUGGCCGGGUAGCUAAGUUCGGACGGGAUAACCGCUGAAAGCAUCUAAGCGGGAAGCCUCCCUCAAGAUGAGUUUUCCCAUGAAGCCCGUUGAAGACUACGACGUUGAUAGGCAAGGUGUGGAAGCGCAGUAAUGCGUGAAGCUAACUUGUACUAAUUGGCUGAUUGUCUUGACCAUAUAAUCUGAG
rnacentral:rRNA from 1 species